AAAUUUGUCCCAAAAUGAAGCUUGUAACUAGAAGAACAAAACCUUACCAAUUUCAAGGCUUGAAAUCCACGGAAUCUCGACGGAGAAAACUCGAUAAUCUGGCCAAAACUUACAACUCGUCAAACUCGACUUCCCGACGUCCAAAUUAUUUGGUUUUUCUUCUCCGAUCUUUGUAAGGACAUUCGAAAGCUUCCUACAAGCUUAAAAUCUCUUGAAACAUCCAUAAUUACGACCACAUGAACAUUACCUCAAAACUGGGAUAUCGGUUCCUCGGGUUUUCAAAGUUUUCAAGUCCUAAAAAUGAUACGAAUGGACUCAGGAGCUUGUAGGGAACAAGAAUAUUUCCUUUUUAACGUCGAUCCGUGAAGAAACAUGUUGGUUCGAAGAUGGUCCGUACAAUGGUACGGACGAUGGCAGAAAUCCGAGAAAGGGAGGGUCAACGGGUUGUGUUUUUGUGUGUGUAUGGAUGUGUGUGGUCCUAAUUGGCUACCAAACAGCACAAACAAAUUCCUUUAGUUCCAAAUACUUAGGAAUAAAAAGGAUUGGUCCAAAAUAAUUAGAACUUAGCAUAUUGGUCCACCACCCAAGUCUAAACCACACAACACAACUCAAAACGUCCAAGGCAUUUAAGUAAUUUCAGACCGUCGAGGGUAAAAAUAAACAUAUCUGGGACUGACUAUGACAAAUAUCCACUUAGAUAAACACACAUAAUAUCACCUACUGAUCUUGAAGGUGAUAUUAUGAAGAAUUCACUUAAUUAAACCUCAUAAUAUCACCUACUAAUCUUGAAGGAUUCACUUAAUUAAACUCAUAAUCCCAUAAAGUUCGUACCAAAUAAAAUCAUAGUUAAAAUAAACACACAUAUCACCCUUGUUAGCUCAUAAAAUGGGAGCAAUAAUAAACUAUAUAUAAUGAUGUGAUUUGGCAAAAUAAAAUAAUUUUAUUUGAAGCAUGUAAAAGUACGAUUAGCCUUUAAACGAGAGUCCCAUAAGGCCAUCUCUAUCUAAAGGGCUAAACAUAGCCCUUUUUAGAAGUAUAGAAUUGCAAGAAAUUAUUCUUUAAUAAACAGUAUCAUGUCACAUUCAUAUACUAUCUUCAUCCGAAUGAGCUAAAUAUACUCAUCUUUAAUAAUUUAUUAGCUAUAAGUUUAUUAUUUAAAUUUAUUGGUUAAUUUAAUUAAACUACUACUUAUACCAUAUUAAAAUAAAUUUAUCUAGACAUGAGUUUUUAAUGCCAUGUAUUGUUAAAUGAAUAAGUUUCCAAAUUUCUUAUCUUUAUGUAUUCUCAAUAAUAUUUCAGAUAUAAUUUUUGAGGAUUAAGAGGGUGUGAGAAAUGGUUUAGAAAUGAGAUGGGUACUCAUAGGAAAAAGUUAGAAACUUUUUGAAUUAAAAAAAGAAAAUAGUAUAUAGGUAACUGUUGGAGAUUCAAAUAUAGUCGUUGGAUUCUUUCAAACCUGAUUGUUGAAUUUGUAAACAGAUUGUAGCUGUUGUUACUAGGCCCAACAAACGGGCUAGGUAUCAGGCCAGCCAAUCUGAUGAGAGAUUUUUCAGUGUGAUCCGUACACGAGGUGGUACACUACGUGUCAUUAUACAAUUUGUGGGAUAUGUGUGCUAAAAAAGUUAAUAACUUAAAAAAUAAAAUUUCUCACCAUUUCUAUUAAAACAUGUGGUGUACCACUUAUGUUCCCGUCAUAAUUAAAUUUUUUUCCAAUCUGAUGGCAUUUUAGCCAUGUUUUGGUCUAGUGGGCUCCAUUGAUAUGAGUUUUGUCCAAAUUAGACCAUAUUUUUGCUUUUUAGCUCUCUUCAUUCGAAAUGAUUAAAAUUAAAUAA
rnacentral:lncRNA from 1 species